UACGGAGGGUGCGAGCGUUGUCCGGAAUCACUGGGCGUAAAGGGCGCGUAGGCGGCCACCGCAAGGCCCGUGUGAAAGCCCGGGGCUCAACCCCGGGUCGGCGCGGGCGACUGCGGGGCUAGAGGGCGCGGUAGAGGCCGGUGGAAUUCCGGGUGUAGCGGUGGAAUGCGUAGAGAUCCGGAAGAACACCAGUGGCGAAGGCGGCCGGCUGGGCCGCGGCCGACGCUGAGGCGCGACAGCGUGGGGAGCAAACAGG
rnacentral:rRNA from 1 species